rnacentral:rRNA from 1 species
CCGGAUUUAUUGGGCGUAAAGCGCGUGCAGGCCGUUUGGUAAGUUGGAUGUAAAAGCUCCUGGCUUAACUGGGAGAGGUCGUUCAAAACUACCAGACUAGAGAUUGGGAGAGGGAAGUGGAAUUCCGGGUGUAGUGGUGAAAUGCGUAGAUAUCCGGAGGAACACCAGUGGCGAAAGCGGCUUCCUAGACCAUUUCUGACGCUUAGACGCGAAAGCUAGGGGAGC